UCCUCCCCAGGGGCAGGCUGCCCGCCACUUUGCUUUGAUAGCCUGGUCCGGGAGGCAAGUCCGCAGUCCCGCAGCUCCUCCGGCGCUGCACGCAUUCUUCCCGGCCAAGAAGGAACGCGGCGAGCUAACGGGAUCCAGAUGGCCCGGCCAUGCUAAGCAGAAGGAAAAGGACUGGCAAUGUGUGUUUGGGUCCCUGCUGCAGGAACUAGAGGCUGGGAGGAAAGUUUGGGCAGGCAAAUCUGGAUGCAUCCUUGGACAUAUUCCAUUAAGAGCGGUGCCACUCAACCUAUGGCGAUUAGAUGGCAGAGCCAGUGAUGAAGACUCUGGAGCCAUACCACCUGGGUUCUAAGCCCAGCUUUAUCUACUAGCUAUGUGACCCUCAGCAAGUCACUUCAC